CUUUGAGAAUUUAAGUAUUACAUGUAUAAGUAUACUUAUUGGAAGUGAAUUUUAUUUUUCACUUUUGUCUCUAAGAUUAUGUAUGGGUUACCCUCUCUAUAAGCUAUACCAAAUUUAAUGCAAUCAAAGAUCUAGAUAAUGAUAUAUAGGCAUAAUAUUGACAAGCGAAGACCAUUUCCAUUUGGAAUAGCUUUAGAGGGUGAUAAUUUCCUUUUCAAUCUAAUAUUGCCAAUAAUUGUUUGGAAUUGUACAAAAUAGAACUGGAACAUGUCAAAGCUUUUUAGCAGCAAUAUAAAAGAGAAAUGUUUUUUUGAGGACUCAAGAGAGAAGAGUUCACGGAAGUAACUUUAUGAUACUCUUCUUUUUUAUGUAAAUGCUGCUGAGAGUCAAGAAAAAGCUGUUAUGAUAUAAUGACCUUUGAUCAAUUGUUAAUUACCAAGCGUUAGCGCUUGGUAUGUAGGGUUGAGUUGGACGAGCGCACCCCCAAAAUGGCUGCCAUCUCAGAAGCAUUGAGCCAGUGUAAAUCUUCAGAAAUUCUUUAUGGUUAUCUGACAGUCAAGAUGUCCUUUAUAAUUUUGUGAAAACAGGUUAGUGUUAUAAAAAAUUGUUAAAACUUCUAUAAGAUAGUUUUAUGGCAAAUGAAUGCAUGCACCAAAUGUUCAGGUUUCUUUCUCCUUCUUCCACGGUUAAGUAAGAACUAGUCCUACAGUUUUUAUCAUAUAAAAAUUAUUUUUGCACCAUUCUGUUGCACUUCAGGGAUGCUAGUGCAGUGUGGCUUGGCAUUUUAAUAGUACAAAAUGAUUUUUCGUCGUCAUUUUGAAACACACAUGAACUCACCAAGUGGUUGGACGCCAUUUUGAUCCAGCUAACUGCGCAUGCUCAGUAUCAUUUUAAUGGAGUCUAAAGCCUUUGCUUACUGACAGAGUUACUGAUCCUGGGACUGAUCUGUGAUGAGAUUGAGAUGAUGUGCAUGCCUAAACACCCUAUCUACUUACACCAAUUACUACUUCAAUAGACUAAUUGAUUAGUUAUCCACUGAGUUCUGUGUUUAUAAUUCAUAUGCUUCAAUUAACUUCAAUCUCUUCAAGUAAGCAGGUAUUUCCACAGUGAAAUAAAAUGGUGGAUUGAAACGGGAAGGAGUCAGGAGCUCAUUUCAAGCAAUUGGUCAAUAAAAUUAAGAUUGUACUCACCCUGUCCAGCAGCAGAAUAUGGAUACACCUUAAAGCCUGUGACUGUCUCUACAACUAUACUACAGUUCCUCCCUCCCCCCGUGUGUCUCCUUUCCUCUGUCCCUCUCUAUCUCACACUGGAGCUCCAUCAAUAAACCUAGGCCUCCUGUAAUGAAUACAA